CAUAAUUUUUUUUAAGUGCAGAUUUCUGGAAUGACAUACAGAAGAUUAGCAUGGCCCCUGCGCAGGGGUGGGGGGAUGACAUGCAAAUUUGUAAAGCGCUCCAUAUUUUU